GUUUUAAUAGUUUAAUAAAAACAUUGGUCUUGUAAAUCAAAAAUAAUUUUCUUAUUUUAAAACU
rnacentral:tRNA from 1 species